UACGUAGGGGGCAAGCGUUGUCCGGAUUUAUUGGGCGUAAAGAGCGUGUAGGCGGUUUGGUAGGUCCGCUGUGAAAACUCGAGGCUCAACCUCGAGACGCCGGUGGAAACCAUCAGACUAGAGUCCGGAAGAGGAGAGUGGAAUUCCUGGUGUAGCGGUGAAAUGCGCAGAUAUCAGGAGGAACACCGGUGGCGAAGGCGGGUCUCUGGGCCGGAACUGACGCUGAGGAGCGAAAGCGUGGGGAGCGAACAGG
rnacentral:rRNA from 1 species